AGACAAAUGUACAUUCUUCGCCGGACGGAAUACAUAGAAACAUACAUAGACAAAAAAAAUUGGAGCAUAGAUUCACUCAUUUACAUUUCGCUGGACGGAGUACAUACAAACGUAUGUAAGACAUAGUUUAGAAUGGAGAUUCACUCAUUCUAAUGUAGAUUUAUUUGCAGCAUCCAAAGAAAUAACUGUAUCCACGUCAACACAUUCCCUGCCAUGCGCAAUCUAAUUCCUAAUCCUAAACAAUCAAGAAGCAGGACUUGUAGCAUCCAAAGCAGGAUGUAACCAUUGUCCACAGAUUCAGACCAGGCUGCCAUCCGGGAUCAAAAUCCUAAUCCUGAACAAUCAAGAAGCAGGACUUAUAGCAUCCAAAGCAUGAUGUAUCUAUGUCAACACAUUCAGACCAGGCUGCCAUCCGGGAUCAAAAUCCUAAUCCUAAACCAUCAAGAAGCAGGUAGCACCACCCAGCAAAUCAAACUCUACACGCAGCAGAUAAGAGCAUCCAGACAAUAAUGCUGAUGCAUGCAAAAGCAUAAAGUACUUGAUGGCCGAAUAUUAGCAGCAAAUAAAGCUCCAAAACAGAGUUCAUACAGUUGGAUAGAUUGGUCAUGAUAGCAAAACUCCUGGUACAACUAAAAGCAACGAUAACAGGCCUACUAAAGUGCAGGUUUCUGGAAUAAGCGAGUUGACAGAUGAGAAGAAUGGCGCCACCAUGCCAAGCAAGUACGCCCGCAGUCAGCCGCAGCCAAAGACACACAUAGGAAGCUACAGCACACCGUCACCACCCCCAUCAGCCUACUUGGAUCGCUGCCUCAUCUUUCGGCGCUUCCUCUUCAGCCUCCUCAUGCGCUUCUUCUUCCACUGAAUCAAGAGAUAAGCCAAGUUAAAAAGGAUACAUGAUCACAUAAAUUAUUCAAUAAAACAAGAAUAGAAGGGUGGCUUCCAGGCAUGCUGUUUGCAAAAAAUAAACCAAGUAAUCCCAUGAACCUCAGUGGUAAACAGAAGUCGGAAGCAACCAAAAGCAAGGCAACAAUCAAUUCAGCUGCCCAAUCCUGAGACAGGUUGUGAACAGUUUAACUGAAAUGCACUGAAAAACUGCAUCUGCUACAACAUGGCAGUUCAACAUUCCAGCUAGUCAAUUAUCUAAUACUGUUCAUCUACUUGGAUGCGGGCAACUAUGUUCAGUAUCACUUGCUAAGGCCAAAAGGAAUGUUCAAUAGCGAGCAGACGAGCAGAUUGUCUGCAACAUAGAAAAUUUAACAAGUCUACUACAACACGCAUUAAACAUGUGGUACUACAGCCAGAUAAGCCAAUUCAUCUUAUUACUUAAAUCAUCAUAACCAAAGAAGAAAUUCGCAGGUUUUGAAACAGUAUGGCGACCACAAAGGACCAACCACUAACGUACAUAAUCAAACACCAACAGAGUACUUCAGCAAAUUGUUAAUUCACAUCCCGAGGGCUCAUAUCAAGUGCAUUCGACCUUCACCGUGGCAGGGAAACCCAAACGAGACAGACGACCCACGCACGCGCGCGCAAGCACGACGACAAGCAACGCGAGCACGGUACGGGAGAACCGGAACACGAGAUACCUAAGCCCACACGAUACAUCGAUCGAUCUAAGGUAACACGAGACAAAACAUGCCCCACCAUCGCCGCCACCGCCACCGCCGACGCAAGCGUCGUCGGGCGGCACCUCGCGUUCCAUCCCUGACCGGCUCGAGUUGCUCGCCCCGUCGCAGCCGCAGCAGAAACGGGGGGCACGAGCACGAGACGGCGAGAUCUGCCGGCUCGCUAGGGUUUCCCAGGAAUUCGAGCCAUUCGAGCCUCUCUCUUUGUAAUCAUAGCCCCCGCUCGGCAAAGAACGAACAAACAAACAAACGAAGGAACAAAACCAUGGCGGUCGUCGCAUGGAUCUAGGGGACGAACGGGAUAGGUGUCCGGGGACUAGAGCGUGUGGAUUGGGAGGUUACCUUGGCCCUCAUGGUCGGUCGCCUCCUCGCGAGAUCUCCUUCUCGCCCCUGCUGCUUCUCCUCCUCCUGCGGCGGCGGCGGCGGUCUUGUGGUGGGGAGUGGGGGGAGUGGGAGAAAGGGAUGCGCACUGGGGGGUUACAAGAAGCGAAACCCUAGGAAGGUAGCUUCGAGAAUAUGGGCCUGGGCUUGUUAGCCGCUCGAAUGCCCACACGCUAUGGGCGUAUUGGGCUGAAGGCAUUCGAGGUAACUCUGCUUUCCUUUCCCUUUAGCGGUUUAGCGGAAGCAACUAGUUAACGAGCGCUUCUUCAGGAGCCUCGCAACGAUCAGCGCCACUUGUCGCGUUCUCAGCCAUUCGUCACGUGUCGUGUUCUGGACGUUUUUUCGGAUUUUAUUUUUUUAUUUUUCCACACGCGUUUUCGGCUUUUAAAUGGUUUUUUCCCGGGUUUUUUUUACGUUUUGGUUUUCCCCCGGUCUUUCUUAGCUUUUCGAUUAAAAAAAAUUCGAAAUUUUUUUUUUGCGCGAAAGAACACGUUUUCUUUUUUUCCUUUCGCAAAAGUCAUGGGGUUUUUUUCCGCGAGAGGUACGGUUGUGCUUUAUCGAGAGUCACGGCCGUGCUUUUCGAAAACGAAAAAAAAAUGUGUUUUCUGUUUUUUUUCUUUUGCGAGAGUCACGGUUUUUCUUCCGCAAGAGGCACGGUUGUGCUUUUGCGAGAGGCACGGCCGUGACUCUCGCAAANNNNNNNNNNNNNNNNNNNNNNNNNNNNNNNNNNNNNNNNNNNNNNNNNNNNNNNNNNNNNNNNNNNNNNNNNNNNNNNNNNNNNNNNNNNNNNNNNNNNNNNNNNNNNNNNNNNNNNNNNNNNNNNNNNNNNNNNNNNNNNNNNNNNNNNNNNNNNNNNNNNNNNNNNNNNNNNNNNNNNNNNNNNNNNNNNNNNNNNNNNNNNNNNNNNNNNNNNNNNNNNNNNNNNNNNNNNNNNNNNNNNNNNNNNNNNNNNNNNNNNNNNNNNNNNNNNNNNNNNNNNNNNNNNNNNNNNNNNNNNNNNNNNNNNNNNNNNNNNCUCGCAAAAGAAAAAAAACAGAAAACACGUUUUUUUUUUCGUUUCCGAAAGGCACGGCCGUGCCUCUCGGAAAGGGAAAAACAAAACGCGUUUUUUGUUUUUUUUCUUUCGUGAGAGUUACGGUUUUGCUUCCGCGAGAGGCAUGGUUGUACUUACGCGAAAGUCACGGCCGUGCCUCUCGGAAAGGGAAAAAAUACGCAUUUUCUUUUUUUUUCUUUCACGAGAGUUACGGUUUUGCUUCCGCAAGAGGCACGGUUGUGCUUUCGCGAGAGUCACAAUCGUGUCUCUCGAAAACGGAAAAAACGCGUUUUCUGUUUUUUUCCUUCCACGAGAGUCACGAUUUUGCUUCCACGAGAGACACGGUUGUGAUUUCGCGAGAGGCACGGGCGUGCCUCUUUUGGAAAGGGAAAAAAACCGUGCUUCCGAUUCGGUUUUUUCGCCCGGUUUUUUUCGUCCGGUUUUUUUCGUGAAAAAAAAGUUCGUCAAAACCUAUCAAAAUGGGACCUAAUUUUAAAGAUCUCGACGCGAGGAAUCCAAUGGUGAAAACGGUUCGAGAUUUGGACGCACGGUUUAAGAGAUAAAACGUUUUGAAUAAACGGAUCUACGAAAAAAGGGAAAACUCCCCGAUUGCGACAAGUGGCGCGCUGCAUGUGCGCCACUUGUCGCGACCUGGGAAAGUGAAGUGUUCUUUGCAACGAGUACUCCUUAAUUAGUGAUUUCGCCCUUUAGCCGCCCCCUCUCUCGCGUGUCAGCUGGGUGUUCGAAAAAAAAACUGAGUGUUCACAUGCACAAUAGCUUUUUUUUCUUAGGACAGCAUUGACGUAGCCUCAAAAAUAAGAAAGAAAGAAAAUCACCAUUGAGGUGGGUGGCUCCGUACAAUCAGGAACGGAGCUCACGUACAACCACUGGUGUCAGUUGACACCAGUGGAGUUCAGCGUUUCAAUUAGCAUGCUUAAUAAAUUUUGUCUUUGACGCCAGCCAGAAAGAUCGAUUGACACCAACCCGGCCGACGGAAAGCCGCUCCACAAACCCAAAAUGCCAGCCCAAUUACAGUCGUGCAAACAAAAAGGCUGACGGGAAGCCCGCAACACGUUAAUAUGAGAGUUAAUAGCAUCCCAGGUACCCUAACUUGCAUAGAAUGUGAUGAUUCAGUUUCAAACUUGCAAAAUUUGACUCCACCAUACCCCAACUUGCACCUCAUGUGAUGAUUUAGUCUCAAGCCAAUCACAACUCGACAAUUGGCAGCUAGGUUGCCGGACCGGUCAGCGCACGCACUUUUGCAGAAACCCCCCCUGCUGUUUUUCCUAUACCCCAACUUGCAACAGCUGUAAAUGGCAACAAUGGUUAGCAACUGACAGAAUGGAAUCACGAUGCAAGACUGGGAAUAUACCAUUUCACAGAAUAGCAUUUACCUGGUUAGUGCUCAUGAGAUACAAGUGAAACACUGAGAGGCCACCAACAAACCAAACCGCGAUAAAUGUGUACUCCAGAGCGAUAGAAGCAGGGGUCUUUGCCAUUGCCUUCCAUAUUGUUAUCUGCUCUGUAGGGCUCCUGGAGGCUUGCGCUCCCGCGCGACGGAGUUGAGCCCGUCGCCACAGCUGCGUCCGGGAAGUGAAGUCUGGUGCACUCACGCAACGGCGUCAAGGAUGCCAUCCACUACAAUGGCAGGUUCUACUCGAUCACAUACUUCGGCGAAGUAGAGGCAUGGGAUGAGUGCGGCGCCGAUGACCCAGGUGUGUUCGCAAGUGUGGUGAUCUCGCCGAGGCUGCCAGCCGACACCGAGCACCGCAAGUACCUAAUGGCGGCGCCGGGCGGGCCGCUGAUGGUCGUGCUCAAGGAGGGUCGGCGGACGUCUCCAUCCUUCAAGGUGCAGGUCCUCGGUGGCGGCGGCAAGGAGUGGAAGGUGACGGACGACAUCGGCGAAACAACGCUCUUCAUUGGGGGGAACGGUUCCUUCUGCGUGUCCACGAGGGAGCACCCGGAGCUCAGGGCCGGCUGCGUCUACUACACCGAGGACGAUCCGGGGCUAUACAAGGAUGCUCGCGACCGCUACUACAAUGGCAUUAAUUGGGGUAUUCACCCUCAAGGAUGGCAGCCGGGAGAAGGUCGAGGGCCUUGCGCUGGUCGCCACCAGUGUGGUUCAUGCCUUCCAUCCCAUUGUGAUGGAUACUGUGACUGAUUUCAUAGCUGUUGGGGUGGGUUAAGUGCUACUAUAUUAUGUGCAUUACUACAGUAUAGAUGCAGCAACAGGCUUAUGAAUCUGAAUUAAUCAAACAAUUCGGCUUGAUUUCCAGUAAAAAGGCUUCAGUAGAAACUUAGGAAACAGUUUGAUUUUCUGCUUCUUCUUUUCGUCUUCCAGAUUGUGGCAUAGUAAACAAAGGUGGCCCUUUUAGGUUGCUUUUUAAGUAUUCUGAUGGAACAAUUUAAUCAGUAUGCAUGACUCAGACUUAAUUUUAUGCUAUGAUGAUUGCAGCUCAUAUUAGUACGUAAUUAUUGCCCGAAGCUUUAAUUUAGAACGUUGGGGUUCGGGCCACCUUUCAUGACUUUUUUUAUGCAUGGCUCAGACCCUUAUUGAAGUAAUUAUUGCAGCUCUUAUUAGUAAGUAAUUAUCUGUUUGGGUGAGGUUUCUGGAUUAACAGGUUUAAUUCAGAACUAAACAGAGGAGAACAGUACUUAUAGCUAGAGAAGACUGUUUGGUUUGCUGGGUUCAUAAUAGCAUUUUGUGUUUGUGUUUUGCCUUUUGAUUGUUUCAAACUGCAACCAAUUCUGGAAUAUGAUCACGGCACUGCAUUUGCCUGCCUUUUGAUUAUCAUGCAGAUUUGAGGUGUGGGGUGUUGAGAGGGUACAUUACAUUUCCAUCCACAUCGGUGGCGUUCAGUUUUGCCUUCUUGUUGAUUAUUGAGAGGAAUCAAAUUGUCUUUUCACCAAUUUCUGUGGUCAUUGGAGUAGCAUCCUCUGCUUUCUCUUACCAGCACUCCAGCAGAGCAUGACUGUUACUGCAUGUUUCUGAAGAUAUACAUGCUGAAGUUUCAGUAACAACUAAGGAGAACAUUUGGAAACAAAAUAUGAUUUAAGAUACACACCAAGUAGCAGGUAACAUCAUAAAUUAGGAUUUUUGUACUAGCUAGUAUGCUGAAGCAGGUUGCAGGGGCCAGAUUUCUACUGCCCCCUGAUAAUGGGUGGCACGAAGCUGCACUUUGAGAUGCAGGGUUGUCCAUUUUUUAGAGUAAAUUAGGAUUAGUUGGACAAUGACCAGAGCUUAGUUAAGGAAAUGUUCUUUAUUAUUUAAGUAUAUGUGGUGCUGCUCAUACAUGUUGGUGCUGGUGCCAUGGGUGAUUUGAGAGCCUGAAUGCCGGCUUACUGCAAUAUCUUUUUGAAGAAAGUGUUUGGGGUUCAGGAGUACCGAAAACGAUUUGUGUUUGUUUCAAACUGCAACCACAGUUUGUUUUUAAUUUUCGAAUGGUCAACGUCGGUUUGUUUGGCUGCCUAUUUGUAUUGCUAUAGGCAAGAGUACAUCCAUCCUCUGCUUUCCACCAGCAUAGAAUCACCCUUACUGAACAUCUCUCAAGAUGUAUUUACAUACUUGGUUAUCAUCAUCAGUAACUAAAGAGAACAGUUGGAUCUUCUUGGAGUUCCAUUGUUGAAUCUCAAACUGCAACACACUAAUCGUUUUUCUUUUCUUUUGUUAAGAAUGAUCGAUCCAAGUUUUGGUCGCUGCUUAUGCAGUGGGCAAUUAAUGGUUCAGUUCACGGCAUGCUUCAGAAUUACUUCCAUGGCUGCAAUGUCAGGCUUGAUCUGUACAUCCUUGGUAUGUAUAUCAAGGAGGAAUACAUGCAGGUCAGGAGCUAAGAAUCGUUUUGUGGGCCGUUCCUUGCCUUUUGUGCUCUUGAUUGAUUAGUUUAUUAGGCUCUAGUCUGAGUGCCGGUAUCCCUUUUUCACUUUUAUUUUUGUUGGUUUUUAUUAUAAUACAGGAAGAUCUGCUGCGCGUAUAAGAGCAAGUACAAUAGAGCUGAGUCAGCUGGCUAUAAAAAAUAAACUAUUAUAUUCUUGCUUAGUUGGAGGAAAAAGAAAAGGAGAGAGAAGAUAAGCGGGCUCUUGAUGAAGAGUCAGCUCUAGCACGUGCUCCUAGGCACUUUGUGAGAGUGAAAAGUGGGCCAUAUAAUAAAAAAGUAAUACACUCUUCUAAUCAACUAUUGUACAUAUUGCCUAUAAGAUGAGCUAUAGAUGACAUGGCAAUGGCUUAUAGCCAGCAGUUGGCUAUACUAUUAACCAUGCUCUAACAAAACGGUAGGGGGUUUCUGCAAAAGUGCGUGCGCUGACCGGUCCAGUCACUUGGCUGCCAAGCUGUGAUUGGCCUGAGACUAAAUCAUCACAUGAUGUGCAAGUUGAAGUAUGGUGGAGGCAAGUUUUGCAAGUUUGAGACUGAAUCAUCACAUUCUGUGCAAGUUAGGGUACCUAUGAUGCUAUUACCUCUUAAUCUAAUAGCUGCGGUUGUGAGUUGUGACAUACGCAGAAGUACGUGCAGGUCGCACCAUCCACACCUAUCCGUCUUUUCGCCGCCUGGUGUUUCUCAACAAAAAAAAGCCUCUCCUCGCCGACUCAAUCCUCAAUUUCGGCAUCCAGAACCAAACCCUAGCAAUCUCAAUCUCUCUCUCACCGCUCGAUGGAACAACACAACUGCGAAGCAAAAACAGCAUGUUUUCAUGCCGGCCAGCCGGCGGCCGCAGCGGCAACAAAACAAUUUUAAUCUAAUAGUCUGCUGAGGAAAGUUCCUGAGUCCAGGUCUCCGGCAAGGUACACCAUGUCUGUACGGACAUAUGUGACCCCUAUACAGAAAUUUCUCACCUUGCCUAUUUUGAAUUUCUCUUCCUUGAUUCAUAUGGGGAUUAUGCAUAUUUUUUUGUUGAAAUGAACUAUAUCACAUGAUGAUUUUGAUUCAACAAAAUUGAUUGAUCUUGGUCAUGAACUUCACAUUUACAUUGAUAAUGUGCGGACAAAUCAAAUAUUUUCCAAUUUGGUUUGUAUUGCUGAGCUUGCUAUAUUGUUCGUGGAUGCCCAGAAGAAUCUUUUUUCUUUGAUUUGGUGCAUCGACUUCUAAAUUUGAUUCUAAUUUUGUUGAUUGUUGGUGAUUUUCAAAAAUUAAUAUUGGCAGCAAUGUUCUACAUAACAAAAUGAGUGAGCGGUUUAUGAGUGAUUGACUGAUUUGCUAAGCAGGAAAAAAAUUCUACCAUUACAAAUGAUGACAUGAUUAAUCUCUUUAAGAAGGUGAAAGGCCAUGAAGGGAAAUUAUAAAAUGUGAGUCUCGAGUCACUUUAAGUUUCGUUUGAUGAUAUUUAUAUUUAGUGUUAUUAGUUAUGUACAAUCGUUGUCAGUGUAAUAUGUUUUGUUUGUUGAUCUUUUGCUCGAAGUUAUAAAUGAAGCUCUCUAUAGUCGUCUUUUUUUAUUUUCUUCUUCUUAUGAAUUUGUAACUGGUUUCUUGCCUUCACUUGGUAUGCAAGCUUUUAAAUAAACAACUAUUAUAUUGUUUGCUAAUUGCAUAUUUUCAUUCUUUGUAUUGUUUUUUUGAAAGUUAUUUAUAUUUCCUGCCAUAAUCCAGUAGUGGGUUGUGGCUGACACCAAUGGCGAUUUUUUCUAGCUUCGUCCCUGCGUACAAUGUUAUUCCUUAAAUUCGUCAUCUUCCAACACCGAGGAAGCACGACGGGUUCGCGGUGGCAAGGCGCACAACUAACUACAUCGCCAAACGGAGCAAACUACGAAGGUGGGGUCCCCCGCCAUCCAACACCGCUAGUGUCCCGAAGGAGCAACAACGUCCAUGGCAGCUGCCUGCUUGAGCUUAGCCACAACAAUCUGUUGGGGAACAUAGCAGAAAUUCAAAAUUUUCUACGCAUAACCAAGAUCAAUUUAUGGAGUAAUCUAGCAACGAGGGGAAGGAGAGUGCAUCUACAUACCCUUGUAGAUCGCUAAGCGGAAGCGUUCAAGUGAACGGGGUUGAUGGAGUCGUACUCGCCGUGAUCCAAAUCACCGAUGAUCCUAGUGCCGAACGGACAGCACCUCCGCGUUCAACACACAUGCAGCCCGGUGACGUCUCCCAUGCCUUGAUCCAGCAAGGAGAGAGGGAGAGGUUGGGGAAGACUCCGUCCAGCAGCAGCACGACGGCGUGGUGGUGGUGGAGGAGCGUGGUACUCCAGCAGGGCUUCGCCAAGCACCGUAAGAGACGAGGAGGGAGAGGGGUAGGGCUGCGCCAAGAAGGAGAUGUUCUCGUAUGUAUGGCAGCCCAAAACCCCACUAUAUAUAGGGGAAAGGGAGGGGCUGCGCCCCCACCUAGGUUUCCACCCCUAGGGGUGGCGGCCAGCCCUAGAUCCCAUCUAGGGGGGCGGCCAAGGGGGGAGAGAGGGGGGCGCACCACUAGGUGGGCCUUAGGCCCAUCUGAGCCUAGGGUUUCCCCUUUUCCCUUCUCUCUUCGCCUUGGGCCCUGGUGGGGGGGCGCACCAGCCCACCUGGGGCUGGUCCCCUCUCACACUUGGCCCUCGUAGCCCUCUGGGGCAGGUAGCCCCACCUGGUGGACCCCCGGGACCCUCCCGGUGGUCCCGGUACGUUACCGAUAGCACCUGAAACUUUUCCGGUGACCAAAACAGGACUUCCCAUAUAUAAAUCUUUACCUCCGGACCAUUCCGGAACUCCUCGUGAUGUCGGGGAUCUCAUCCGAGACUCUGAACAACAUUUGGUAACCACGUAUAUCUAUUCCCUAUAACCCUAGCGUCAUCGAACCUUAAGUGUGUAGACCCUACGGGUUCGGGAACCAUGCAGACAUGACCGAGACACCUCUCUGGCCAAUAAACAACAGCAGGAUCUGGAUACCCAUGUUGGCUCCCACAUGUUCCACGAUGAUCUCAUCGGAUGAACCACGAUGUCGAGGAUUCAAUCAAUCCCGUAUUCAAUUCCCUUUGUCUAGCGGUAUUGUACUUGCCCGAGAUUCGAUCGUCGGUAUCCGAUACCUUGUUCAAUCUCGUUACUGGCAAGUCUCUUUACUCGUUCCAUAACACAUCAUCCCGUGAUCAACUCCUUGGUCACAUUGCGCAUAUGAUGAUGUCCUACCGAGCGGGCCCAGAGAUACCUCUCCGUCACACGGAGUGACAAAUCCCAGUCUCGAUUCGUGCCAACCCAACAGACACUUUCGGAGAUAUCCGUAGUGUACCUUUAUAGCCACCCAGUUACGUUGUGACGUUUGGCACACCCAAAGCAUUCCUACGGUAUCUGAGAGUUGCACAAUCUCAUGGUCUAAGGAAAUGAUACUUGACAUUAGAAAAGCUUUAGCAUACGAACUACACGAUCUUAGUGCUAGGCUUAGGAUUGGAUCUUGUCCAUCACAUGAUUCUCCUAAUGAUGUGAUCCCGUUAUCAACGACAUCCAAUGUCCAUGGUCAGGAAACCGUAACCAUCAAUUGAUCAACGAGCUAGUCAACUAGAGGCUUACUAGGGACAUGGUGUUGUCUAUGUAUUCACACAUGUAUCUGAGUUUCCUAUCAAUACAAUUAUAGCAUGGAUAAUAAACGAUUAUCAUGAACAAGGAAAUAUAAUAAUAACCAAUUUAUUAUUGCCUCUAGGGCAUAUUUCCAACAGUCUCCCACUUGCACUAGAGUCAAUAAUUUAGUUCACAUCGCCAUGUGAUUAACAUUCACAGGUCACAUCGCCAUGUGACCAACAUCCAAAGAGUUUACUAGAGUUCAAUAAUCUAGUUCACAUCACUAUGUGAUUAACACUCAAUGAGUUCUGGGUUUGAUCAUGUUACUUGUGAGAGAGGUUGUAGUCUACGGGCCUGUCACAUUCAGAUCCGUAUGUACUUUGCAAAUUUCUACACUAUAUUUGGAGCCAUUUCAAAUAACGGUUCUACUUGGAGCUAUUCUAAAUUGUUGCUCCAUUAUACGUAUCCGGUAUCUCUACUCAGAGCUAUCCGGAUAGGUGUUAAGCUUGCAUCGACGUAACUCUUUACGUCGAACUCUUUAUCACCUCCAUAACCGAGAAACAUAUCCUUAUUCCUCUAAGGAUAAUUUUGACCGCUAUCUGGUAAUCUACUCCUAGAUCACCUUUGUACCCUCUUGCCAGACAUGUGGCAAGGCACACAUCAGGUGCGGUACUUAGCAUGGCAUACCGUAUAGAGCCUAUGACAAAAGCAUAGGGGACGACCUUCAUCCUUCCUCUUUCUUCUGUCGUGGUCGAGCUUUAAGUCUUAACUUCAUACCUUACAACUCAGGCAAGAACUCCUUCUUUGGCUGAUCCAUCUUGAACACCUUCAAGAUCAUGUCAAGGUAUGUGCUCAUUUGAAAGUACCAUUAAGCGUUUUUUAUCUAUCCUUAUAGAUCUUGAUGCUCAAUGUUCAAGUAGCUUAAUCCAGGUUUUCCAUUGAAAAAACACCUUUCAAACAACCCUAUAUGCUUUCCAGAAAUUCUACAUCAUUUCGGAUCAACAAUAUGUCAUCCACAUAUACUUAUCUGAAAUGUUGUAGUGCUCCCACUCACUUUAUUAUAAAUACAAGUUUCUAACAAACUUUGUAUAAACCCAUAAACUUUGAUUGCUCCAUCAAAGUAUAUAUUCCGACCCCAAGAUGCUUGCUCUAGUCCAUGGAUGGAUCGCUGGAGCUAGCAUACCUUUUAGCAUCCUUAGGAUCGACAAAACCUUUUUGAUUGUAUCACAUACAACCUUUCCUUACGAAAACUGGUAAGGAAACUUGUUUUGACAUCCAUCUGCCAGAUUUCAUAAAUACAGCUUAUGCUAACACGAUUCCGACGGACUUAAGCAUCGCUACGGGUGAGAAAAUCUCAUCGUAGUCAACUUCUUGAACUUGUGAAAAACUCUUCGCCACAAGUCGAGCUUCAUAGACGAUGACAUUACCGUCCACGUCCGUCUUCUUCUUAAAAUCCACAUGUACCUAACAGCCUUACGACCAUCAAGUAGUUCUUCCAAAGUCUACAGUUUGUUUUCAUACAUGGAUCCUCUCUCGGAUUUUAUGGCCUCGAGCCAAUUUUCGGAAUCCGGGCCCACCAUCGCUUCUCCAUAGCUCAUAGGUUCAUCGUUGUCCAACAACGUGACCUUUAAGACAGGGUUACCACUUAGAAGUUGUACACACCCUUGUCAACCCAUGAGGUUCGAAAGUAACUUGAUCUGAAGCUCCAUGAUCAUCAUCAUUAGCUUUCUCUUCAACUGAGGCAGGUGCCACAGAAACAUUUUUCCUGUGCUGCGCUACUCUCUGGUUGAAGUAAAGGUUCAACAACCUUAUCAAGUUCUAUCUUCCUCCCACUCAAUUCUUUCGAGAGAAACUUUUCCUCGAGAAAGGACCCGAUUCGAGAAACAAUCCCUAUUGCUUUCGGAUCUGAGACAGGAGGUAUACCCAACUAUUUUGGGUGUCCUAUGAAGAUGCAUUUAUCCGCUUUGGGUUCGAGCUUAUCGGCCUGAAACUUUUCCACAUAAGCGUUGCAGCCCCAAACUUUUAAGAAAUGACAGCUUAGGUUUCUCUAAACCAUAGUUCAUACGGUGUCAUCUCAUCGGAAUUACGUGGUGCCCUAUUUAAAGUGAAUGUGGUUGUCUCUAAUGCCUAACCCAUAAACUAUCGUGGUAAUUCGAUAAGAGACAUCAUGGUAUGCAUCAUAUCCAAUAGGGUGCAGUUAUGAUGUUCGGACACACCAUCACACUAUGGCGUUCCAGGCUGUAUUAGUUGUGAAACAAUUUCCACAAUGUCUUAAUUCUGUGCCAAACUCAUAAUUCAGAUAUUCAUCUCUAUGAUCAUAUCAUAGAUAUUUUAUCCUCUUGUCACGACGAUCUUCAACUUCACCCUGAAAUUACUUGAACCUUUCAAUAAUUCAGACUCGUGAUUCAUCAAGUAAAUAUACUCAGCAUCUGCUCAAAUCAUCUGUGAAGUAAGAAUAUAAUGAUAUCCACUACAUGCCUCAGCACUCAUUGGACUGCACACAUCAAGAUGUAUUACUUCCAACAAGUUGCUUUCUUGUUCCAUCUUACUGAAAACAAGGCCUUUCAGUCAUCUUGCUCAUGUGGUAUGAUUUGCAUGUCUCAAGUGAUUCAAAAUCAAGCGAGUCCAAAGAUCCAUCAACAUGGAGCUUCUUCAUGCGUUUUAUACCAUUGUGACUAAAAUUGCAGUGCCACAAGUAUGUGGUACUAUCAUUACUAUCUUAUAUCUUUUGGCAUGAACAUGUGUAUCACUACGAUCGGGAUUCAAUAAACCAUUCAUUUUAGGUGUAAGACCAUUGAAGGUAUUAUUCAAAUAAACAGAGUAACCAUUAUUCUCCUUAAAUGAAUAACCGCAUUGCGAUGAACAUAAUCUAAUCAUGUCCAUGCUCAACGCAAACACCAAAUAACAAUUAUUUAGGUUUAACACCAACCCCGAUGGUAGACGGAGCUGCGAUGUUUGAUCACAUCAACCUUGGAAACUCUUCCAACACCUAUCGUCGUCUCACCUUUGGCUAGUCUCCGUUUAUUCUUUAGCCUUUUAUUUCGAGUUACUAACACUUAGCAACCGAACCGGUAUCUAAUACCCUGCUGCUACUAGGAGUACUAGUAAAGUACACAUUUAAUAUAUGUCCAAUACAUACUUCUGUCAAC
rnacentral:lncRNA from 1 species